UGAACGUGAAUUAAUGAUCACCCAAGCUAGGGGAUCAUAAGGUGGAAGCUUGGGAAUGAAGCGGGUCAAACAAAUAAAGUAUGAAGAAAAGCCUAAUCAGGAUACAAGGUAUGCUAGAUGUACCAGAUGACGAUCAAGCUCGAUGAAGAACCGAACACGAUAAAAAAAUACAAGCUUCUGCGAAAAGAUUCGUCGUCAUGUUUUUAAACGGCGAAUGUUUUGUAAAAGUUGAAUUGUUUAUUUGUUAAAAGUUUUUAAGAAAUACGAAUAAAUAAAGUAUGUGAAAGCAUAAACAUAA